UCCACUGGAAUGUGGAGUUGGUUGAAGUAAGCAACAAAGUUACCUAAUUAUGUUUUCUGUUCUUCCCUUUCUCUUUAUGAAGUUUGUUUGAUUCUGAUUUUUGCUCAACUUUUCCUUGAUUGUUGAAGGGAAGGGUUCAAAAUAACUCUGCAAAAUUGGAAUUUCAUCACAACCCAUGUGUAGAAUUUUUCUGUCUGAAUUAUCUGAAGGAGGCGAGACAUUCAAGUUGGAAUGUAGCUGCAAAGGUGAACUUUGCUUUGGCUCACCAAGAAUGUGCUAUUAAAUGGUUUAGUAUAAAGGGUACUAGAACUUGUGAUGUCUGCAAAAAGGAUGUUAGAAACCUUGCUGUCACUCUAUUACAGAUUCAAAGUGUUCGAAAUCGAUUUGCUGGAGCAAGUAGAUCUCAACUCGAAGAUGUAAACGAGUACAUGUUACAAAAAUAGGAACCGGUGCAUUUGCCAUAUCUCUUCCAUUUUUUCUGUGUACUAGGCCUGCUCUCCUCCAUGACAUCAUCAACCAUGGAACCGCUGCAUCGUGUUUCCAACAAGAGCCUUACUGUCCUUCGAGUGCACCUCACAAACUUUAUGAUGUCGGUGAUAAUCUUUAGCAUUGUUGAGAUCUGCGCGACAAUCCUCCACCUGACAAAAUGCUCUACUGGAGCUACCUCCACCAGCUACUCUACUUUUCUUCCCAGUGUUCCUUUCCCAUGUAACAAUUGUUCAUGUGUGUAAUGGAUUCACACCCUUACGGUACGCGCGAGUUAUAUUUCAGUUCAAUACUAAAUUGAAUCCAAUCGAUACGAAUCUCUAUCGCGCAUAUAUCUGGACAUGAAUCUCAUCAUGAAUACCUAUUCAUUAUGGUGAAUCAUCACCUAAACUUAGUGCAGUCAACUUUGUUAAACUAACCAUUAUUUUUGUGUAAAGUGAAAAGCAGGUUCAUAUGAGUUUAUGCAUCUUUACACUUUUCUCUGGUGGUUCUCUUCGUGCAUAUAUUUUACUCAUUGGUAACCAAUUUCUAUGUGAAUCUUAAACUCAUUACAUGUACUUUUCACUUUAAAAAAAGAUUGAUAGUACUCAUGUUGAAUCCUGAUUCAUUAGGAAGAAUCCUGAUUCAUGUAUCCAUUCCCUUACUUUAGGAGUUGUAGCAUCAAAUUCCCAAAUUAUACUUUAUACUUCACGUAUAGGCCAUGCAAUCAGGAUAUAUCCUUAAAAUUUUCGCUGCAUUCAAUUGUUUACCGAAUUGAUUAUAUUGGUUCUAUUAUAUUUGCAUAGAAUCCAAAGUGGAGCUAUGUGUUAUGUAUAUAUUAUUCAUAUUGCCUUAGUAAUCA